rnacentral:sRNA from 1 species
GGAAGAUGGUUUAAAAAGGAAUCAUGGCAGGAAGGAUGUCACUGUGGUUAAAAAGUUCCCAACUGCCUUCAAUUUUUAGGUGACAUUCAAUUAAUGGAUAAUAAAGUGUUAACAGAAAUUUUGUUAGAACAAAGUUUUCAACAAAAAAGGAAAGUUAGUAUAUAGGAUAAUAAAAUGGGCCAAUAUGAAGUCAUGAAUCUAUGGCCAUACUGUGAAAACACGUAAAUGACAUUAUGACAUCCAAGGGAAGGAACAAAGAGUUUUAAAUUAUGUUUUCGGAAUCUGUUUGUUCUUACGCUCUUUCUAAAAUUCUAACGUGUUACUGCAUAGAGAGGCUGUGGCUUGGCCGUCAGCUGACAGUCACGGUUACAAUGUGAUGUUGAGGAUUUAUUGUACUAUUCUUUCCCUAACCAAAGCUUCUUGCUUUUGUUUAACAACAUAUACUUAAACUACAACUUCAAUAUCUUAUAACUCAAUUAUCUGGCUAGACUAACAAUCAGAAAAUAAGCACUCACACAGUUUAAAACAUCUUAACACUGGGGAGACGGUUUUGUUGGUACAGGAUGCUGUGGAAAGACCUGAACUCACACCCUAGCACUCAUGGAAGAAGCUGUGACAGUGUUGUGUCGUCUGUCCCAUGGCACUGGGAGGCAGAGAUGGAAGAUCUCUCAAGUCUACUGACGGCUGCCUGAGCCGCUGAUGCUGAUUUCUACCUUCCGAGGUCUCACUUUAUGACAUUGUCGAACAGAUCCGAAUAUUCACAAAUCCUUAAGGGAUUACAUCCAGAAACGGACUUCCCCAAGAACUGGCAUCCAAGAUGGCCUCCAAAGUCCUGACUCCUUUAAUGUGCAAUUACCAGUUGUGUAGUUUCCCAUGAAUUCACAUUCAAGUGAAAACAGCGCCUUAAAUGAUAUAACUUCACUCUGAAUGCUGGCCUAAAAGGAAGCCUGCUGUGUCAAACAGGCUCACCUAAGUCUACAGAAGUCAACUAGUGCUCACUGUCAUCUGCAAGCAGUGCUCCAGUGGGGACCGAAUGUGCUUCUUCAGGACCAUCUGUAACACGGGGGUAGGGUGAUGAUUGAUCUUUUUGCAUGAUAUAUUUAUGUUAAGUAUUAAUCAACAGCUCUUGAUAAAGAAAAACACCGCGUACGCCUAAGCAAACACACAUGACACUGAAAAAUGAUUUUAAAUGCAAGCAGCUUUGCAGACAUUCUCAUGAAGGAUCCCAAGCGUUAGCAGUUACAGUCUCAGGGGGAAGACUGGUCUCCAUCCAUGAAACAAAUGUUGAGACUUUUUAAAUACAUGAGAUGUUGCAACACAGAUGUCAAGAUGCAUUGAUACUAAGAGUUGGAGGAACAGGGAAAAUGAUGGCAGCGUAAGACAGGCCCAUGUCAAGGAAGUGUUAAGCAGGAGAAGAGAAAAUGGAGGAAAGAGUGUGCUUUCUCCUCUUCCCUUCCACUGGGUAUGAAUGUACUGAGGCAUUGUUUUCAUGGGAGCUGCUUGGAUAGCUGUAUUCAAAGCCAAGCCUGGACCAAACAAUGGCAUCGGGCACUUGUUAAGCAUCUCUUUAUGCUGGAACAUCUGCUAGAGGCUUCAUUAUUCUUUUAUCCAACAGAGAGUGCAAUUCUUGUUAUCCACAGACGGAUGAAAGACAUCUCCUAGGUUAUAAAAGCAGCAUUAAGAGUCUUUUCCUCCCUAUGCUGAAACACUGAAAGUACUAGGACUGGGGAGACAACCUGCCUUUAAGAGCACUUGUCGCCUUGUAGAGGACCUAGGUCUGAUUCCCAGAACCCACACAGAGGUUCAUAACCACUUAUAACUCCAGUUACAAGGGAUCAAUGCCCUCUUCUGACCUCCUCAGGUACUAGGCACACGUAGUCCACAUGCAUAUAUGGAGCCAAAAUUUACACAUUUAAAAUAAGUAAAUCUAAAAAGUAUUACAAAAACUGUUGUUAGUGUACAUAGACAUCAUUGCUGUGCCAAGAGGUAACCAACAGGUGUGACACUUUCUAAGAAGUAUAACACUAAAAUAUAUUCCAUUUUCAUACAGCUGUCCAUCCCUAGUAAUAGUAUUCCUGGGAG